AGAGUUUGAUCCUGGCUCAGGACGAACGCUGGCGGCGUGCUUAACACAUGCAAGUCGAACGGAAAGGCCUAGCUUGCUAGGUACUCGAGUGGCGAACGGGUGAGUAACACGUGGGUGAUCUGCCUCGUACUUCGGGAUAAGCCUGGGAAACUGGGUCUAAUACUGGAUAGGACCAUGCUUUAGUGUGUGUGGUGGAAAGUUUUUCGGUACGAGAUGAGCCCGCGGCCUAUCAGCUUGUUGGUGGGGUAAUGGCCUACCAAGGCGUCGACGGGUAGCCGGCCUGAGAGGGUGGACGGCCACAUUGGGACUGAGAUACGGCCCAGACUCCUACGGGAGGCAGCAGUGGGGAAUAUUGCACAAUGGGCGCAAGCCUGAUGCAGCGACGCCGCGUGGGGGAUGACGGCCUUCGGGUUGUAAACCUCUUUCGCUAGGGACGAAGCUUUUGUGACGGUACCUAGAUAAGAAGCACCGGCUAACUACGUGCCAGCAGCCGCGGUAAUACGUAGGGUGCGAGCGUUGUCCGGAAUUACUGGGCGUAAAGAGCUCGUAGGUGGUUUGUCGCGUCGUCUGUGAAAUUCCGGGGCUUAACUUCGGGCGUGCAGGCGAUACGGGCAUAACUUGAGUGCUGUAGGGGAGACUGGAAUUCCUGGUGUAGCGGUGGAAUGCGCAGAUAUCAGGAGGAACACCGAUGGCGAAGGCAGGUCUCUGGGCAGUAACUGACGCUGAGGAGCGAAAGCAUGGGGAGCGAACAGGAUUAGAUACCCUGGUAGUCCAUGCCGUAAACGGUGGGCGCUAGGUGUGAGGGUCUUCCACGACUUUCGUGCCGUAGCUAACGCAUUAAGCGCCCCGCCUGGGGAGUACGGCCGCAAGGCUAAAACUCAAAGGAAUUGACGGGGGCCCGCACAAGCGGCGGAGCAUGUGGAUUAAUUCGAUGCAACGCGAAGAACCUUACCUGGGCUUGACAUAUGCAGGAUCGGCGUAGAGAUACGUUUUCCCUUGUGGUCUGUAUACAGGUGGUGCAUGGUUGUCGUCAGCUCGUGUCGUGAGAUGUUGGGUUAAGUCCCGCAACGAGCGCAACCCUUGUCUUAUGUUGCCAGCACGUGAUGGUGGGGACUCAUGAGAGACUGCCGGGGUUAACUCGGAGGAAGGUGGGGAUGACGUCAAAUCAUCAUGCCCCUUAUGUCCAGGGCUUCACACAUGCUACAAUGGUCGGUACAACGCGCUGCGAGCCUGUGAGGGUGAGCGAAUCGCUGAAAGCCGGCCUCAGUUCGGAUUGGGGUCUGCAACUCGACCCCAUGAAGUCGGAGUCGCUAGUAAUCGCAGAUCAGCAACGCUGCGGUGAAUACGUUCCCGGGCCUUGUACACACCGCCCGUCACGUCAUGAAAGUUGGUAACACCCGAAGCCAGUGGCCUAACCCUUGUGGGGGGAGCUGUCGAAGGUGGGAUCGGCGAUUGGGACGAAGUCGUAACAAGGUAGCCGUACCGGAAGGUGCGGCUGGAUCACCU
rnacentral:rRNA from 1 species